rnacentral:rRNA from 1 species
GAUGAACGCUGGCGGCGUGCCUAAUACAUGCAAGUCGAGCGAACAGACGAGGAGCUUGCUCCUCUGACGUUAGCGGCGGACGGGUGAGUAACACGUGGAUAACCUACCUAUAAGACUGGGAUAACUUCGGGAAACCGGAGCUAAUACCGGAUAAUAUAUUGAACCGCAUGGUUCAAUAGUGAAAGACGGUUUUGCUGUCACUUAUAGAUGGAUCCGCGCCGCAUUAGCUAGUUGGUAAGGUAACGGCUUACCAAGGCAACGAUGCGUAGCCGACCUGAGAGGGUGAUCGGCCACACUGGAACUGAGACACGGUCCAGACUCCUACGGGAGGCAGCAGUAGGGAAUCUUCCGCAAUGGGCGAAAGCUUGACGGAGCAACGCCGCGUGAGUGAUGAAGGUCUUCGGAUCGUAAAACUCUGUUAUUUGGGAAGAACAAAUGUGUAAGUAACUAUGCACGUCUUGACGGUACCUAAUCAGAAAGCCACGGCUAACUACGUG